rnacentral:lncRNA from 1 species
UCGGAAAGAACUUUAUUUAAACAUUUACAGUAAAUUUUUGAGUUGUACAACAUGAGUUUUGGUAUAGUUAAUUUGAGAUGUACAACAUCGGUUUUUAGUUUAUAUAAUAAAAACAAUAUACAUUAAUAAUGCAUCUCAUAGGGAGGUUGGCCUUGGGUAGGGGACAUAACUCUUAAAAUCACUAGUGCGUUUGUAUUAGACAUGUUCAUUAAUAUAUUUUAAGUUUUUAUCUAAUACAGAUUACUAUAAUUCUAUUUCACAUGAGUGCUUGAAACACAAUAAGGAUAAUGGCUGUUACAAACGCAUUACUGAUUUUAUAGUGUUCUCUCCAAUACCCUGCAAACUCCAAAACAGUGGUUAUGUCUGCACAAUAGCAUAUACUUAAAGUUUAGUGUAGCAACAAUGCAACUGUUUUAGAGUUUUCACACCAAGGUCUAACGCCUGAAGACCACAUAAUUUUUUUAGAUUCUCAACAUCUUCCCAUCAGAUAGAUUUUCUUCAAAAUCUCUGUCCUUCAAACAAUUAUUAUGUAAGUUUUCACAGAGAUACAUAUACAUGUAUGUUCAUAUGUCUAUGAUCAACAUCUGGGGGAAAUAAAUGUCAAAAGAUGAUGAGAAAUCCAAAUUUGAAUUGUAUAUAGCCUUCACAAUCAAUCAUCAUAAUUUCUUUUAUUCUAAAUCUUUCAUACAAAACUAAGACAAACAUUUACAUGGCAACAUGAACAUUUUGGAAAAAAUAUUGAAGUUACUAAUUGUUUUGUUGGAGUUGUUCUGGUACAUCAAGUGAUGUUGAAACAUUUUUUUUUCAAAAUAGAUGCAUAAAAGGAUUUUUUAUUCAAUCAAAUUGACAUUGCUUUCUUUCUUUUUUUUCUUCUUUAUUUUUUCUGGUUUAAAAAGCUUUACCUUAGCUAAAUUCGAAAUAAUCUUGCAAGUAAAUACUAAUGAUUGAAAACGGAAAACAAAAGUACGACUAUUGCACAAUUAUUACAAAGCAAAAAUUCUAAAUUCAUCUAUGUAUACUAAUAAAUAGAAUAAACCUGGUCCCAGUAGAUUUUUGGUCUGUCUACAUUGAGCUUAUGGACUUGGUAGUCCAAAACAUCUGGUCCCAGUAGAACUAAGGUCAGUCUACAUUGAGCUUAUAUUUGUACAGACUUGAUUGUCCAAUAAGAUAGUAAUUUACAGGUGAAAUGAACAUUGAGAUUGUGUCAUGAAAGAACAUUGACAGAGUAAAACAAAUAAUUUUCAAUGACAUCCGAAUUACAAAUAUUUCCUUCAUUAUAUCAUGGUGCAUGUUUUCAUUUUUUUAAUUGUUUUUAAGGUAAUUGCAUUGAUAAGAGAUCAAUCAAGCUUGACACCAUUAAUUACCUACACUAGAAACAUGUUGGAUCUGAAUAUUGUAAUUAGUGACAAUGUGUACUAUAUAGUUAUAUUGAUCUAAAGCAAGUAAUGAAUUUUCAAUGGUGUUGUUAAAUUUAGUGUAAAAGUCUGAUUUACAUGGAAAAUCUUUAUGACAAUGCAUUCAAAUUUCAGAGUAAAUGGAAAAUAUGACAAAAAAAAAUAAUUUGAUUUUUGUUGGUUUAUUCAUGAAAUUUCUCCCCAACAUAAAACUUUGAGCAAGGAGAGACUUGUUACUGAUUAAUAUUGUGUUUUAAUAUAAUUUGUUUACCUAGAAUUUAAAGUAUUGCACAUAGAUAAACUGUUUUUGCAGUAAUUGCAUAUGUACAACAGGCCUGCAUAUUUUCUAAGCUGCAUAGUUUAUAUACAAAGAUGGGACAAAAGUUUACAUUUUUACAAAUUUCAUGCUUACAUGAUUUAGAGCCUUAUCUAAUUUCAUAACAUAACUACAUGUUUCUGUUGAUGCCUUUUAUACAAUUAUCAGGUAACCACAAAAUAUAUUGCAGAUGCAUGAUCUCAAUUAGAACAGAAACACCACAUUUUGUCAUGACUUUUAUACAGGGAACAUUUAGUUGUAAUUGCGGUCUGUCUUGUGGUCCCCAUUUCAACUUUAGGUAAAGAGUUUCAGUCUCUGUUCUUCAUAAUUUAUUUUAAUAGUCUGAAAGUGGAUCACGAAAAAAAUGAAAUUGUUUGGGUUACAUUGGUUUCAAAUGGAAAAUAGAAGAAAAUUCAGCAUGAACUAAAAAAAAACUUGGCUUUUAAUCCAUGAUGAUGAGGUCAUCUGAAUUUCACUGCAGUUAAUGAUUGCAAUGAAUUCAAAGUUUGACUUUGAAAUAAUAUAAAACUAAAAAUAAAGGUCAUAUGACAGAAGGCACAGUUCAUCCUUGUUUUUCAGGUUUUUAUAAAAUCUGUUUACCCAGAAUUCACUAGCACAUGUUUUAUUAAUUUCUCUUUGUCUUUAGAGAAAUUCUUUCCUAUACAACACUAAGGACAUUGGAUAAAAAAGUAUCAAUAGCUGUCCACAGAUUGUUUAAUGAACUGAUGUCCUGAGCAUACUAGUUGAUCCAUGAUCACCUUUAAUUACAAGCAAUAAACUGAUAGUUUCUGGUUCCCUGUUCAUUACAAUAAAGAUAUCAUAACAACAUAAACUGGAUGUAUUUAGGGAUGUCUAGCUGACAACAACAACAUUAUUUUCUAUACCCUCGGCAUCAUUUUUGGUUGGCUGAAAAGAAAAGUAAAAAUGAUUUAAUUGCAUCUAUGAAAAAUAUCAAGGAAAUGUCUAAAUUAAUUACGUAAAAC